rnacentral:lncRNA from 1 species
ACAGAGGUGGUACCCUGGAUUCUCUGAAGUCACAUCCAUGCAAAGAGACAACAAGAAGGAAUUGGGCUCUUUUUCCAAUAGCGUCUUAGAAAGGCAAUCUUUAAUGGACAUUUUGCUAGCAAGAAGCAUAGAGAAAACCAAGCCUCAUUCUUCAAGUUUAACUUUCCUGACAUCACCUUGCCAGCUCUGGAGAGCCUCUGAAUACAAGCAGGCAGCUUGAUGAUUCUGAUAGCUCCAUCUGCAUUUUUAUUCCACCAACACAUUCCAAACUAUGCCCACAGAUGUGAAUUGAGCUACUUUUCACCAAAGUUUCUAAUGCAAUCCAGCCCAAAAAGCUUUUAUUGAGCUGUUUUGUCCUUCCUUCUUGAAGAGGACCAUGACAUUAGGAAGAUGAUUCCAUGACUUGCAAAUGAAUUGGAUUUAAGUCCAAGGUCACCAGCCUUACUUUCUCCUCCGGAGCCAUCUGGGUCCAGUGACAAGAUAUAGAUCAGUAUGACUGAAGAUGGCCCCUCCAUGUGGUAUGGAUGUAGAUGAAGGAAUACUGGACUUGGAAACAAAAGUUCAAUUUUCUGAGCAUAUUGAUUUAUUAAGCACUUGCUAUGUAAAUGACACUUUUUUAAGUACUAGGGAAACAGAAAAACCAAAGAAUUGUCCAUACUUGCAAAAAGCUUACAUCCUGCUUUGGGGAAGAAGGCUGGAAGGAUGCAACAUGAAACAGAGCAAGAGCAGGACAGAUUACUGGAGGGUGUCCAUGGUUGUUGAAGGCCACCUGAACCUUUGA